rnacentral:rRNA from 1 species
CUAACACAUGCAAGUCGAACGCAGUAGCAAUACUGAGUGGCAGACGGGUGAGUAACAUGUGGGAAUCUGCCUUGUGGUUCAGGACAACAUUGGGAAACCGAUGCUAAUACUGGAUAAGCCCUUACGGGGAAAGUUUUAAUGCCAUAAGAUGAGCCCGCAUUUGAUUAGUUAGUUGGUGAGGUAAUGGCUCACCAAGACAAUGAUCAAUAGCUGAUCUGAGAGGAUGAUCAGCCACACUGGGACUGAGACACGGCCCAGACUCCUACGGGAGGCAGCAGUGGGGAAUCUUGCACAAUGGAGGAAACUCUGACCCAGCGACGCCGCGUGCGGGAUGAAGGCCUUCGGGUUGUAAACCGCUUUCAGUAGGGAAGAAGCGAAAGUGACGGUACCUACAGAAGAAGCACCGGCUAACUAUGUGCCAGCAGCCGCGGUAAUACAUAGGGUGCAAGCGUUGUCCGGAAUUAUUGGGCGUAAAGAGCUCGUAGGUGGUUUGAUACGUCGGGUGUGAAAUUCAGGGGCUCAACCCCUGACCUGCAUUCGAUACAGUCAAGCUAGAGUUUGGUAGGGGAGACUGGAAUUCCUGGUGUAGCGGUGGAAUGCGCAGAUAUCAGGAGGAACACCGAUGGCGAAGGCAGGUCUCUGGGCCAAUACUGACACUGAGGAGCGAAAGCGUGGGGAGCGAACAGGAUUAGAUACCCUGGUAGUCCACGCCGUAAACGGUGGGCGCUAGUUGUGCGAACCUUCCACGGUUUGUGCGACGCAGCUAACGCAUUAAGCGCCCCGCCUGGGGAGUACGAUCGCAAGAUUAAAACUCAAAGGAAUUGACGG